GUCGGCAGCGUCAGAGUGGUAUAAGAGACAGGUGAGUCAUCGAAUCUUUGAACGCACAUUGCGCCUGCUUGCAGGCAUGCCCGUUCGAGCGUCGCUUCUAUUUAGUACAGCAGUCCUUGUGAUUGCUGCACUGUGUUGGACACGCCUCUUGGCUGUCCGGAAAGCAGUGGCCGCAGUGCCGCCGAUAAACGGUCGACAGGAGUCAGCCGCGGCGUCGCUGUGAGUCUCUUCUAACAGAACCUUAUGACCUCGAAUCGGGUAGGGAUACCCGCUGAACUUAAGCAUAUCAAUAAGCGGAGG
rnacentral:misc_RNA from 1 species